GACAUUAGACGAAUCAUCUGGAAAGAUGAAUCAAAGAAGGUAAUAAUCCUGUAGUCGAAAAUGUUGUCUCUCUUGAGUGGAUCCUGAGUACGACGGAGCACGUGAAAUUCCGUCGGAAUCUGGGAGGACCAUCUCCUAAGGCUAAAUACUCUCUAGUGACCGAUAGUGAACCAGUACCGUGAGGGAAAGGUGAAAAGCACCCCGGAAGGGGAGUGAAAUAGAACCUGAAACCGUGUGCUUACAAGUAGUCAGAGCCCGUUAAUGGGUGAUGGCGUGCCUUUUGUAGAAUGAACCGGCGAGUUACGAUUUGAUGCAAGGUUAAGCAGUAAAUGUGGAGCCGUAGCGAAAGCGAGUCUGAAUAGGGCGUUUAGUAUUUGGUCGUAGACCCGAAACCAGGUGAUCUACCCUUGGUCAGGUUGAAGUUCAGGUAACACUGAAUGGAGGACCGAACCGACUUACGUUGAAAAGUGAGCGGAUGAACUGAGGGUAGCGGAGAAAUUCCAAUCGAACCUGGAGAUAGCUGGUUCUCUCCGAAAUAGCUUUAGGGCUAGCCUCAAGUGAUGAUUAUUGGAGGUAGAGCACUGUUUGGACGAGGGGCCCCUCUCGGGUUACCGAAUUCAGACAAACUCCGAAUGCCAAUUAAUUUAACUUGGGAGUCAGAACAUGGGUGAUAAGGUCCGUGUUCGAAAGGGAAACAGCCCAGACCACCAGCUAAGGUCCCAAAAUAUAUGUUAAGUGGAAAAGGAUGUGGCGUUGCCCAGACAACUAGGAUGUUGGCUUAGAAGCAGCCAUCAUUUAAAGAGUGCGUAAUAGCUCACUAGUCGAGUGACACUGCGCCGAAAAUGUACCGGGGCUAAACAUAUUACCGAAGCUGUGGAUUGUCCUUUGGACAAUGGUAGGAGAGCGUUCUAAGGGCGUUGAAGCAUGAUCGUAAGGACAUGUGGAGCGCUUAGAAGUGAGAAUGCCGGUGUGAGUAGCGAAAGACGGGUGAGAAUCCCGUCCACCGAUUGACUAAGGUUUCCAGAGGAAGGCUCGUCCGCUCUGGGUUAGUCGGGUCCUAAGCUGAGGCCGACAGGCGUAGGCGAUGGAUAACAGGUUGAUAUUCCUGUACCACCUAUAAUCGUUUUAAUCGAUGGGGGGACGCAGUAGGAUAGGCGAAGCGUGCGAUUGGAUUGCACGUCUAAGCAGUAAGGCUGAGUAUUAGGCAAAUCCGGUACUCAUUAAGGCUGAGCUGUGAUGGGGAGAAGACAUUGUGUCUUCGAGUCGUUGAUUUCACACUGCCGAGAAAAGCCUCUAGAUAGAAAAUAGGUGCCCGUACCGCAAACCGACACAGGUAGUCAAGAUGAGAAUUCUAAGGUGAGCGAGCGAACUCUCGUUAAGGAACUCGGCAAAAUGACCCCGUAACUUCGGGAGAAGGGGUGCUCUUUAGGGUUAACGCCCAGAAGAGCCGCAGUGAAUAGGCCCAAGCGACUGUUUAUCAAAAACACAGGUCUCUGCUAAACCGUAAGGUGAUGUAUAGGGGCUGACGCCUGCCCGGUGCUGGAAGGUUAAGAGGAGUGGUUAGCUUCUGCGAAGCUACGAAUCGAAGCCCCAGUAAACGGCGGCCGUAACUAUAACGGUCCUAAGGUAGCGAAAUUCCUUGUCGGGUAAGUUCCGACCCGCACGAAAGGCGUAACGAUUUGGGCACUGUCUCAACGAGAGACUCGGUGAAAUCAUAGUACCUGUGAAGAUGCAGGUUACCCGCGACAGGACGGAAAGACCCCGUGGAGCUUUACUGUAGCCUGAUAUUGAAAUUCGGCACAGCUUGUACAGGAUAGGUAGGAGCCUUUGAAACGUGAGCGCUAGCUUACGUGGAGGCGCUGGUGGGAUACUACCCUAGCUGUGUUGGCUUUCUAACCCGCACCACUUAUCGUGGUGGGAGACAGUGUCAGGCGGGCAGUUUGACUGGGGCGGUCGCCUCCUAAAAGGUAACGGAGGCGCUCAAAGGUUCCCUCAGAAUGGUUGGAAAUCAUUCAUAGAGUGUAAAGGCAUAAGGGAGCUUGACUGCGAGACCUACAAGUCGAGCAGGGUCGAAAGACGGACUUAGUGAUCCGGUGGUUCCGCAUGGAAGGGCCAUCGCUCAACGGAUAAAAGCUACCCCGGGGAUAACAGGCUUAUCUCCCCCAAGAGUUCACAUCGACGGGGAGGUUUGGCACCUCGAUGUCGGCUCAUCGCAUCCUGGGGCUGUAGUCGGUCCCAAGGGUUGGGCUGUUCGCCCAUUAAAGCGGUACGCGAGCUGGGUUCAGAACGUCGUGAGACAGUUCGGUCCCUAUCCGUCGUGGGCGUAGGAAAUUUGAGAGGAGCUGUCCUUAGUACGAGAGGACCGGGAUGGACAUACCUCUGGUGUACCAGUUGUCGUGCCAACGGCAUAGCUGGGUAGCUAUGUGUGGACGGGAUAAGUGCUGAAAGCAUCUAAGCAUGAAGCCCCCCUCAAGAUGAGAUUUCCCAACUUCGGUUAUAAGAUCCCUCAAAGAUGAUGAGGUUAAUAGGUUCGAGGUGGAAGCAUGGUGACAUGUGGAGCUGACGAAUACUAAUCGAUCGAAGACUUAAUCAA
rnacentral:rRNA from 1 species